AACGAACGCUGGCGGCAUGCCUAAUACAUGCAAGUCGAACGAAGGCUUCGGCCUUAGUGGCGCACGGGUGCGUAACGCGUGGGAAUCUACCCUCGGGUUCGGAAUAACAGUUAGAAAUGACUGCUAAUACCGGAUGAUGACGUAAGUCCAAAGAUUUAUCGCCCAAGGAUGAGCCCGCGUAAGAUUAGCUAGUUGGUGGGGUAAAGGCUCACCAAGGCUACGAUCUUUAGCUGGUCUGAGAGGAUGAUCAGCCACACUGGGACUGAGACACGGCCCAGACUCCUACGGGAGGCAGCAGUAGGGAAUAUUGGACAAUGGGCGAAAGCCUGAUCCAGCAAUGCCGCGUGAGUGAUGAAGGCCUUAGGGUUGUAAAGCUCUUUUACCCGAGAUGAUAAUGACAGUAUCGGGAGAAUAAGCUCCGGCUAACUCCGUGCCAGCAGCCGCAGU
rnacentral:rRNA from 1 species